rnacentral:rRNA from 1 species
CACUUGGAUAACUGUGGUAAUUCUAGAGCUAAUACACGCAGAAGGAGUGCCUUUAUUAGAACAAAGCCAAUCUUGGUGAAUCUGAAUAACCCAUGGUCAUUGCACCGGCGACGCAUCUUUCAAGUGUCUGCCUUAUCAACUUUCGAUGGUAGUUUACACGCCUACCAUGGUUGUAACGGGUAACGGAGAAUCAGGGUUUGAUUCCGGAGAGGGAGCCUGAGAAACGGCUACCACAUCCAAGGAAGGCAGCAGGCACGCAAAUUACCCACUCCCGGAGGGGAGGUAGUGACGAAAGAUAACGAGGUAGUCCUCUACACCAUCGGAAUGGGUACAAUUUAAAUCCUUUAACGAGGAACUAUUGGAGGGCAAGUCUGGUGCCAGCAGCCGCGGUAAUUCCAGCUCCAAUAGCGUAUAUUAAAGUUGUUGCGGUUAAAAAGCUCGUAGUUGGAUCUGCCAGGAGAGCGGUCCCCCAACGGGUGCGUUUUCUGGUUGCCCUUGCUGCUCUUGAUUGAGUGGCUGGGUGGCUGGAAGUUUUACUUUGAAAAAAUUAGAGUGCUUAAAGCAGACGAAUUGUCUGAAUAGUGGUGCAUGGAAUAAUGGAAUAGGAGGUUCUAUUUUGUUGGUUUUAAGAGCUCAAGGUAAUGAUUAGUAGGGACAGACGGGGGCAUUCGUAUUGCGACGUUAGAGGUGAAAUUCUUGGA